CAGCAGCCGCGGUAAUACGGAGGGGGCUAGCGUUGUUCGGAAUUACUGGGCGUAAAGCGCACGUAGGCGGCUUGGUAAGUUAGAGGUGAAAGCCCGGAGCUCAACUCCGGAAUUGCCUUUAAGACUGCCGAGCUAGCAGGUGAGAGAGGUAAGUGGAAUUCCGAGUGUAGAGGUGAAAUUCGUAGAUAUUCGGAAGAACACCAGUGGCGAAGGCGGCUUACUGGCUCAUACUGGACGCUGAGGUGCGAAAGCGUGGGGAGCAAACAGGAUUAGAUACCCCCGUAGUCCCUGUCUCUUAUAA
rnacentral:rRNA from 1 species